UACGGGGGGAGCAAGCGUUGUUCGGAUUUACUGGGCGUAAAGGGCGCGUAGGCGGCCACUACAAGUCACUUGUGAAAUCUCCGGGCUUAACCCGGAAAGGUCAAGUGAUACUGUUGGGCUAGAGUGCGGAAGGGGCAACUGGAAUUCUCGGUGUAGCGGUGAAAUGCGUAGAUAUCGAGAGGAACACCUGCGGCGAAGGCGGGUUGCUGGGCCGACACUGACGCUGAUGCGCGAAAGCCAGGGGAGCGAACGG
rnacentral:rRNA from 1 species